UACGUAGGGGGCGAGCGUUGUCCGAAGUUACUGGGCGUAAAGGGCGCGUAGGCGGCUCAUUAAGUUUGGGGUGAAAGGUUCGACGCUUAACGUGAACAGUGCCUUGAAUACUGGUGAGCUUGAAUGAGGGAGAGGAUUGCGGAAUUCCUGGUGUAGCGGUGAAAUGCGUAGAUAUCAGGAGGAACCCCGGUGGCGAAGGCGGCUAUCUGGCCUAUCAUUGACGCUGAGGCGCGAAAGCGUGGGGAGCGAACGGG
rnacentral:rRNA from 1 species